rnacentral:rRNA from 1 species
GGUGAGGUAACGGCCCUCCAAGGCAACGAUCGGUAGCCGGACUGAGGGGUUGAACGGCCACAUUGGGACUGAGACACGGCCCAGACUCCUACGGGAGGCAGCAGUGGGGAAUAUUGCACAAUGGGGGAAACCCUGAUGCAGCGACGCCGCGUGGAGGAAGAAGGUCUUCGGAUUGUAAACUCCUGUUGUUGAGGAAGAUAAUGACGGUACUCAACAAGGAAGUGACGGCUAACUACGUGCCAGCAGCCGCGGUAAAACGUAGGUCACAAGCGUUGUCCGGAAUUACUGGGUGUAAAGGGAGCGCAGGCGGGAAGACAAGUUGGAAGUGAAAUCCAUGGGCUCAACCCAUGAACUGCUUUCAAAGCUGUUUUUCUUGAGUAGUGCAGAGGUAGGCGGAAUUCCCGGUGUAGCGGUGGAAUGCGUAGAUAUCGGGAGGAACACCAGUGGCGAAGGCGGCCUACUGGGCACCAACUGACGCUGAGGCUCGAAAGUGUGGGUAGCAAACAGGAUUAGAUACCCUGGUAGUCCACACCGUAAACGAUGAUUACUAGGUGUUGGAGGAUUGACCCCUUCAGUGCCG